rnacentral:rRNA from 1 species
AACGUAGGAGGCGAGCGUUAUCCGGAUUUAUUGGGCGUAAAGCGCAUGCAGGUGGUUUCGUAAGUCGGAUGUGAAAGCCUCUGGCUUAACUGGAGGAGGUCGUUCGAUACUGCGAGACUUGAGGUCGGGAGAGGGAAGCGGAAUUCCCGGUGUAGUGGUGGAAUGCGUAGAUAUCGGGAGGAACACCAGUGGCGAAGGCGGCUUCCUGGCCCGUACCUGACGCUAAGAUGCGAAAGCGUGGGGAGCGAACGGGAUUAGAUACCCCGGUAGUCCACGCUGUAAACGAUGGGUACUGGGUAUUGGUGGUAUUGACCCCAUCAGUGCCGAAGCUAACGCGUUAAGUACCCCGCCUGGGGACUACGGCCGCAAGGUUAAA